GGCUUGUUAACUCAGUUGGUAGAGCGCUGCACCUGUAUCGCAGAGGUCAUGGGUUCAAAUCCCGUACGGGCCU
rnacentral:tRNA from 1 species